UGCAUAAGCUAUUUAUGCUUUGUGACCAGUUAAGAAUUGGAAUAUCAUCAAUUUUCUUAAAAGGGGUGGUGACCAGCGAGUUCAAGUGGUCUGAAUUAGGGAUGGAUCUAAGAAGGAAAAUGAUCUCAGGACCAUGUGAAUUGCAAGAAGAGUGAAGAGUGGAAUGGUAAAUAUGAAGAAAAGCCAAGUAAACAUAUUUAUAUAAAAUAGAAGUAGUAUAUGUGAUUGAAGAUAAGAGGACAUAACUGACUCCAAGACAGCUGGGAUUUAGGACACAGAGUACUACCAAGGAGCCCUGAGAACCUGUGUAAGAAAAUCUUUUUUCAUUUUUUAUUUUUCUUUCUGGGCCAGGUCCUAAGUUGUGUAUGCAGAGGGUGGCACUCCCGAAGGCCCAGCAGAGAACAAACUCUGGAAGGCUGUAGACACGGGCAGGGAUUUCAGAGGAUACCCAGGGCAGGAAGGCAAUGGCAUUCAGACCCAGUGAGAGUGGAGAGUCGUGGUGGGUGACUGUGAUUCCCACUAAGACCCUGGAAAGGCCAUGCACUAGCAAUGAUGACCACAUGCUGGGGCUCCCUAAGAGGGAGGGCAAGGCUGAAAUAGACCCUAGCAAGUCCUACAUUCAACCCUCCCAGAAUAAAACCCAAUACAUUUCCAAGAAAUAACAUAAUGCAGAGCCUCAAGCCUAUAUUGUCCACAAUGCUUCACAUCAACCCUUUCUAAUCUUUCAUGUAGGAUAUUUAGAAGUCUCCUAAUCAUUCAUGCCACCCAAAAAUCUAUCUCCUUUCUGAUCCAUACUACUACCAGUGUUCCUCUACCAAAAUAUCAGUUUCAUCAUGUUGUUUCACUUGGAGUAGGACCAAUGGCUCACCACUGCCUAGAGAUUUGUGUCCAAAGUCCUUUCAGGUCUCCCAAUAUCCCCAGUCAUCUGGCUAUUGCCUGCUCUUGAGGACAGUUCAAGAUGAUAUUCAUCAGAAUUGGGAGAGACACUUGCUGGUCACCCUUCUUGAAGAGAAGGAGCCCACAACGCACAAGGCUACCUCCACCGGCAUCUCCUCAACACUUUCCAGUUUACCUAUUGCCAUGGAAUUUCAUGCCUCUCCAAAUAUUUUUCUGUUGAAUAAAGUACUCACUGAUCAUCAGAAUUGUCUCUUGAUCUUGGAAAUAUUUCCUUCCCCCUCCUUUAUGCUUGUGCUCAUCAACCAUUUUCAGCAAUCGUGUUUUUUUCAUAAUGUUAUAUAAAAUACGUACCAAUAUGUGCCACACA
rnacentral:lncRNA from 1 species